AACCAGCACCUCAAGUGGUCAGGAGGAUUAUUGGGCCUAAAGCAUCCGUAGCCUGCUCUGUAAGUUUUCGGUUAAAUCUAUAUGCUCAACGUAUAGGCCGCCGAAAAUACUGCAGUGCUAGGAAGUGGGAGAGGUAGACGGUACUUGGUAGGAAGGGGUAAAAUCCUUUGAUCUAUCGAUGACCACCUGUGGCGAAGGCGGUCUACCAGAACACGUUCGACGGUGAGGAGCGAAAGCUAGGGGAGCAAACAGG
rnacentral:rRNA from 1 species